GUGGAUUCCUUUUUACCCUGUGUUGUUAUUUGGCCUCUUGUGCAUGUUUCUUCUUUUGCUUUACAGUCUCUUAAAAGAAGAGCUAAUAAACUUGGAAAUGGAAAGAGCCUCUUACAUUUCGGGAAACACAAAUAGACCCUUCUGGUGCUAGUCAGACUGUGGAAGAGGUGGAAACAGCCAAGGAGGGCACCUCAGCCUGGAAGUAUAUGGGUUUCUUUUGAAGGAUUCUGCCCACAAUGCUGAGAAACCACCGUCUUCACCAUAUGGGAAACCACCACAGAUGCAAGACCACCUCAGGAGAAACCAACACAUCCAUAAUCUCUGAAGUCCCUGUGGUCCAGGAAGUUUGCAAAAGGAAUCUCCCACAGAAGAUGAACUUGACCAUGAAUCACCAUGUAAGUGAGAGGGCCAAGGAUGUGAGAGAAAAACAGCAAAUUCCCAAACUCAAUGAUUACAGGUCCUCACAUGCAAAAAUAUUAAUAUAUUCAACUCUACUGUGUUGAAGGCUUCAUGAAAUCACACCUUCAAAAAUAGCAGUUCUGUCAUUUUAUACAACAUUGAAAACAUCAGAGUCAUCUGAUAAAUACUGAUCAGCCAGUUAGGUGCAGUGUGUAUUCAUGAAGUGCCAUCAUUGAUUACCUGGAUCUCAUAAAUGGUGAGUGGUGUUAAUGGCCUUGCCAGCAUUGGAGCAGCUUGUCUCUGGUCACCCAGGCCCC
rnacentral:lncRNA from 1 species